rfam:Planktothrix tepida PCC 9214 isolate BBR_PRJEB10993 genome assembly, scaffold: BBR_B_PL9214_scaffold26
GGGGUUAUAGCUCAGUUGGUAGAGCACCGCAAUGGCAUUGCGGGGGUCAGGAGUUCGAGUCUCCUUAGCUCCA